CCUGGUCACACUGUUUCCAGUGACUCUUUUAUAUUGUCACCUCUGUCGAAAUAAUGUAAGGGGACUGACUUAGCAACAAUUGAUUUCAAAUGAAGCCAUGAUGUUGUGUCUUUGAAAGGAGGACCUUAAGUCUUACAUACAGUAGCUGUCUAUAUUGGACAGGUUUAGCCUGUUAAUUACAAGACACUGUGUAGACUGCAUAGCUUGUAUAACAGAUCUUGUCCCUGCUGCCGAGGAAUUUUAAAGGAUGUGUUCAGUAUGACUGAACACUGUACAAUAACAUCUGGAGUAGUAUGAAGUAGUUAUGUCUGUGUCUGCUAUUUUUUGUUGCUGCUGUGUAUAAUUUUACUAGUUGCCUAGGCUGUAAGGGAUAAUCGGUUUGUCUGAGGAAAAGGUUGUGUGUUCUCCUUGUCAUUGUAUUUCUAAGAAAAUGCCAAUGUGACUAAAGCUACACUUACAGAUGUGGGUUUGGAUGUGGGGGAGAGAACUUAUGCAAAGCUUCUGUCUUUGAAAGAGUUGUUCCAGGAGUGAAACCUCUUCUAUUGCUAUAUGCUGUGUCAGCACUGGGAGGCUCUACUGACUCUCUGUGCUGAUGUAGGUGAAGCAACAGAAACUGUUUACAGAGAGAGGACUACAAAAAUGCUAUGAAAGUGCUACAAGUGGUUGGGAUGUGUCAUGAAACACAAGGGCAUUUGUUGUGACGAUCAGAGUUGAUUUACUAGUUACAGCAAAAGUACCUCAUCCUCCUGGAAAGCACUCCAUAUUUCAAAUUACAAAGUCAGCUUCAGGGCAGACCUGAGAAGUGGGAACAAGGGAGAGUGAUGUUAACAUUCUUUGGGCCAAAUCUCUGACAGAGAAGGCAUGGGAGGCUGAAAGAGCCUUAAGCAAAAGAAGUUUCAUGCCAUUUUUCUGCAUGCCUCCAACAACGCUGUGAUAAAGAGUUUAAACAAACAUUUAUUGUUCAUAUUUGGACUUCAGUGUUAUGAUAUGACUACGAACUGCUCACAGAUCUUCAAAUCAGAAGCUUUUGUUUCAGUAUAAACAUUUGAGGUUUGGCUUUAGAAGUCUAGAGUCCUUUGCUCUUCCAACUCUGAUUUUUUUUUUUUUUUCCCUUCAAAAAUUAUCUUGAUUUUAUUUUUUUUCUUAGGUAGAUCCCAAAUCCAGUAAUUCCAGCUAGGAAAUGAUUUUCACUGUAAGCAAUAAACAGGCUGCUGUUUGUAUUACCACUGUCUGUUACAUGGCAGCAGCAUUAAAUACUUCACUAUUGAAAAUGAAGAAAAUAUAUUUUACAGACAUAUUUCCAUAUGGUGCGUCCUUCUGGACACCAAGUUGAACAUGAGCCAACAAUAUGUCCUUGUCUCAAAAUAGACUGGAGGUGUCUUGGGCAACAUUAGGGAAUCAACCAGUCAAGGGACGUGACUACUCAGCCCUGGUGAGGCCAUACCUAGAUUUCUGUGUUCAGUUCUGUGUUCCCUGGUAAGAGAGUGACUUGAACAUACUGGAGAGAGUUCAUUGAAGGGCCACAGAAAUGAAUAACAGACAGGAGUAGCUCUAUUAUGAGAAAAGGCUGAGAGAGUAGAAACUGUUUCACUUAAAGAGAAGAAGACUUGAGGCAGGUCUUUGUACCUGAAUGCCUGGAGGGAAUGUGGAAAGAAUACAAGGUCUAUGCAGGCAAGAGGAAAUGGAUACAAACUGAAACACAGAAGAUUCAU